rnacentral:rRNA from 1 species
UACGUAGGGACCAAGCGUUGUUCGGAUUUACUGGGCGUAAAGGGCGCGUAGGCGGCGUGACAAGUCACUUGUGAAAUCUCCGGGCUUAACUCGGAACGGUCAACUGAUACUGCGCGGCUAGAGUGCAGAAGGGGCAACUGGAAUUCUCGGUGUAGCGGUGAAAUGCGUAGAUAUCGAGAGGGAACACCUGCGGCGAAGGCGGGUUGCUGGGCUGACACGUGA